GGAGGUUGGUGAUGGACGAACGGCUCGCCAACCGGGUCAGGUCUGGAAAGAAGCAGCCCUAACGAGUGACAGUACGGGUCAUUAUGCCAACCUCCUAU
rnacentral:SRP_RNA from 1 species